rnacentral:tRNA from 1 species
UGGGGAAUAACUCAGUGAUAGAGCACAUCCCUAGCAUGCAUGAGGUCCUGGGUUCAAUCCCCCAGUACCCCUG